rnacentral:rRNA from 1 species
CCUACGGGGGGCUGCAGUGGGGAAUAUUGCACAAUGGGGGAAACCCUGAUGCAGCGACGCCGCGUGAGUGAAGAAGGAAUUCGGUAUGUAAAGCUCUAUCAGCAGGGAAGAAAAUGACGGUACCUGAGUAAGAAGCACCGGCUAACUACGUGCCAGCAGCCGCGGUAAUACGUAGGGGGCAAGCGUUAGCCGGAUUUACUGGGUGUAAAGGGAGCGUAGACGGCAGUGCAAGGCUGGAGUGAAAGGCGGGGGCUCAACCCCGGGACUGCUCUGGAAACUGUACGGCUGGAGUGCAGGAGAGGUAAGUGGAAUUCCUAGUGUAGCGGUGAAAUGCGUAGAUAUUAGGAGGAACACCAGUGGCGAAGGCGGCUUACUGGACUGUAACUGACGUUGAGGCUCGAAAGCGUGGGGAGCAAACAGGAUUAGAUACCCCUGUAGUC